rnacentral:rRNA from 1 species
CAGCCGUAAACGAUGCGCGUUAGGUGUAUCGACGACCACGAGUCGUCGAGGUGCCGAAGGGAAACCGUGAAACGUGCCGCCUGGGAAGUACGGUCGCAAGGCUGAAACUUAAAGGAAUUGGGCGGGGGAGCACCACAACAGGUGGAGCCUGCGGUUUAAUUGGACUCAACGCCGGAAAUCUCACCGGAUAAGACAGCAGAAUGAUUGCCGGGCUGAAGACUCUGCAUGACUAGCUGAGAGGUGGUGCAUGGCGUCAGUGACU